AGUGCUUGAGCGUCGGUGAAGAGCAUUGGGACUGCAUGGAGCACUCGCAACUUUGAGGGCGAGCUCACUGUCUGGCAUCAAGUUCCCCGUGGUGAGUUUCCCUGCACAAAGGUCCAAGGGGAGAGGAUACUCCUGACGCGUCCCAGUUCCCACUCUCAUUGGGUGUCGGAUGUCUAGAGAAGCCAAUCAGCGUCGCCGCGGUCUCAGUUCUAAAGUCUCCACCCACCCACCCGGACUCAGAGUCUCCCAGACGCCGAGAUGCGGUCAUGGCGCCCCGAACCCUCCUCCUGUUGCUCUCGGGGGCCCUGGCCCUGACCGAGACCUGGGCCGGUGAGUGCGGGGUCGGGAGGGAAAGACACGGAUCGCCAAGGGCAACGCACAGACUGACCGAGUGGACCUGCGGACCCUGCUCCGCUACUACAACCAGAGCAAGGCCGGUGAGUGACCCCGUCCCGGGGCGCAGGUCACGACCCCUCCCCAUCCCCCACGGACGGCCCGGGUCUCCCCGAGUUUCCGGGUCCGAGAUCCGCCCCGAGGCUGCGGGACCCGCCCAGACCCUCGACCAGGGAGAGACCCAGGCGCCUUUACCCGGCUUCAUUUUCAGUUGAGGCCAAAAUCCCUGCGGGUUGGUCGGGGCGGGGCGGGGCUCCGGGGACUGUACUGACCGCGGGGGCGGGGCCAGGGUCUCACACCCUCCAGUGGAUGUUUGGCUGCGACCUGGGACCCGACGGGCGCCUCCUCCGCGGGUAUCACCAGCAAGCCUACGACGGCAAGGAUUACAUCGCCCUGAACGAGGACCUGCGCUCCUGGACCGCCGCGGACAUGGCGGCUCAGAACACCCAGCGGAAGUGGGAAGCGGCCGGUGAGGCAGAGCAGUGGAGAGCCUAUCUGGAGGGCGAGUGCGUGGAGUCGCUUCGCAGAUACCUGGAGAACGGGAAGGAGACGCUGCAGCGCGCGGAACCCCCAAAGACACACGUGACCCACCACCCCGUCUCUGACCAUGAGGCCACCCUGAGGUGCUGGGCCCUGGGCUUCUACCCUGCGGAGAUCACACUGACCUGGCAGCGGGAUGGGGAGGACCAAACUCAGGACACGGAGCUUGUGGAGACCAGGCCAGGAGGAAAUGGAACCUUCCAGAAGUGGGGAGCUGUGGUGGUGCCUUCUGGAGAAGAGCAGAGAUACAUGUGCCAUGUGCAGCAUGAGGGGCUGCCGGAGCCCCUCACCCUGAGAUGGGAACCAUCUUCCCAGUCCACCAUCCCCAUCGUGGACAUUGUUGCUGGCCUGGCUGUCCUAGCAGUUGUGGUCAUCGGAGCUGUGGUCGCUGCUGUGAUGUGGAGGAGGAAGAGCUCAGUGGGGUAG